GACGAACGCUGGCGGCGCGCUUAACACAUGCAAGUCGAGCGAAGCGGCGGACGGGUGAGUACCACGUGAGUAACCUGCCUUAGACCUUGGGAUAGCAUCGGGAAACCGGGAUUAAUACCAAAUGGUCUAAGAUGGACUCGCGUCCCAUUAGCUAGUUGGUGGGUAACGGCCCACCAAGGCGACGAUGGGUAGCCGGCAUGGGAGGGUGAGCGGCCACAUCGGAGCUGGGAAACGGUCCAAAAUAUACGGGAGGCAGCAGUGGGGGAUACUGCACAAUGGAGUGAACUCGGAUGGAGCGACGCUGCGUGAACAAAGAAGGCUUGCGAGACGUAAAGUUCUUUUAUAUGGGAAGCGGUACCAUAAGAAAAAGCCCCGGCUAACUACGUGCCAGCAGCCGCGGUAAUAC
rnacentral:rRNA from 1 species